rnacentral:lncRNA from 1 species
CCCAUAAUAGUCGGAAAGCCGAUAAGAACAUAAAUGGAUACUAAAAAACUACACCACUCUUUGUAAUUCUUUUUGUCUGUGUGGUUUAUUUUGUCGAUAUUCCAGUUGCUUCUUUGAAGCUUUAAGUCUACAACCGCUAAAAGUAUGGAAAAACAGUUAGCCUUUUUUCAAUUUUUUUUUUCAGAGUAAUAGUGGAUUGAACCAUGCACAACAGAUGUAGUCUAAAUUUUGACAACUUGACACAUUUGGACUACAAAUCUCAGACAUAAUUCAAAUUCUGUUUCAUUAUUGUGCUGAUUCAACAGAACCCUUAUGUUAAGAAUUCGACUUUUUUUCUUAUUCAAAUGGGCGUUUCAGCAAUAACAGAUUAAUGUCAUCCUGUCAUUUAAUAUUGUCAUUUAAGUAGCAUAUUUAACAUAACCAUAAAAGCGCAGUUUGGCCAGCAAUUAAACCAGGUUUCGACCCACCAUUUUUCUAAAAAUGUCCUCUACUAAGUCAUAAAAUGGAGUUGUUAUCUUAUAGUUCGUUUCUGUGUGUGUUGCAUUGUCAUUUGGGUUUUUUUUUGUGUUUUUUUGCACUUCAGUGUUUCUAUUGUGUCUUUGUUUCAUGCUACAGUAUUAGAUACACUGAUUCUAACAGAUGUCAUUUAUGAUUCAUUUUUACUUUUUGUACAGGGGUAAGAAACAUACAGAGUAUUUUUUUCUAUUUUAAUCCAAUAUUUAAAAUACUACUGUUGCCUAUUUAAAUCCAGUAUUUUAUCUUUCCUUUUUCUCUUUCUUUGAUAUUCCCAUGAGUUGUCAAUAUACAUUUCGAUUUCCCGUUGAAACUGAAAAAUCAAAAUUUCUAAUUUCAGUUUAAAAAAUUGAUUAGAAUUGUGUACAUGUGUUUUGGAAGAAAAUUGCUAUUGCAUAUUGUAUAAAUCAUUAACCCCAUUUAAGAAUUAUCAUUUAUUAUAUCUGUUUAAUGUAGUUUAAUAUCAAUAUUACAGUUAACGUUAAAUGCAUCAUUAUGUGAACGUAAAUCUGUAGAAACUAGUGUGCCCGAUGCUUUUUUUUUU